rnacentral:rRNA from 1 species
GGUUCGACGCCGCGUGGGGGAUGAAUGGCUUCGGCCCGUAAACCCCUGUCAUUUGCGAUCAAACCUUACGACCUAACACGUCGUGAGCUGAUAGUAGCGGAAGAGGAAGGGACGGCUAACUCUGUGCCAGCAGCCGCGGUAAUACAGAGGUCCCAAGCGUUGUUCGGAUUCACUGGGCGUAAAGGGUGCGUAGGCGGUCGGGUAAGUCUGACGUGAAAUCUUCAAGCUCAACUUGGAAACUGCGUCGGAUACUAUUCGGCUAGAGGAAUGGAGGGGAGACUGGAAUACUUGGUGUAGCAGUGAAAUGCGUAGAUAUCAAGUGGAACACCAGUGGCGAAGGCGAGUCUCUGGACAUUUCCUGACGCUGAGGCACGAAAGCCAGGGGAGCAAACGGGAUUAGAUACCCCGGUAGUCCUGGCCCUAAACGGUGCGCAUUUGCUGUAAGAGGAAUCGACCCCUUUUGUGGCGAAGCUAACGCGUUAAAUGCGCCGCCUGGGAAGUACGGCCGCCAGGUUAAAACUCACAGAACUUGACGGGGGCCUGCACAAGCGGUGGAGUAUGUGGCUUAAUUCG